rnacentral:rRNA from 1 species
CCUACGGGAGGCAGCAGUGGGGAAUAUUGCACAAUGGGGGAAACCCUGAUGCAGCAACGCCGCGUGGGUGAAGGAGCGUUUCGGCGCGUAAAGCCCUGUCAGCGGGGAAGAAGAAAGACGGUACCCGACCAAGAAGCCCCGGCUAACUACGUGCCAGCAGCGGCGGUAAUACGUAGGGGGCGAGCGUUAUCCGGAAUUACUGGGUGUAAAGGGCGCGCAGACGGCGAGGUAAGCCUGAGGUGGAAGCCCGCGGCCCAACCGCGGAACUGCUUUGGGAACUGUGUUGCUGGAGUGUGGGAGGGGUAAGCGGAAUGCCUGGUGUAGCGGUGAAAUGCGUAGAUAUCAGGAGGAACACCGGUGGCGAAGGCGGCUUGCUGGACCAUGACUGACGUUGAGGCUCGAAAGCGUGGGGAGCAAACAGGAUUAGAUACCCGUGUAGUC